UGCUAUACAUGCAAGUCGAGCGAACUGAUUAGAAGCUUGCUUCUAUGACGUUAGCGGCGGACGGGUGAGUAACACGUGGGCAACCUGCCUGUAAGACUGGGAUAACUCCGGGAAACCGGAGCUAAUACCGGAUAACAUUUUCUCUUGCAUAAGAGAAAAUUGAAAGAUGGUUUCGGCUAUCACUUACAGAUGGGCCCGCGGUGCAUUAGCUAGUUGGUGAGGUAACGGCUCACCAAGGCAACGAUGCAUAGCCGACCUGAGAGGGUGAUCGGCCACACUGGGACUGAGACACGGCCCAGACUCCUACGGGAGGCAGCAGUAGGGAAUCUUCCGCAAUGGACGAAAGUCUGACGGAGCAACGCCGCGUGAGUGAUGAAGGCUUUCGGGUCGUAAAACUCUGUUGUUAGGGAAGAACAAGUACAAGAGUAACUGCUUGUACCUUGACGGUACCUAACCAGAAAGCCACGGCUAACUACGUGCCAGCAGCGGCCGGUAAUAAA
rnacentral:rRNA from 1 species